AUACGAAAGGUGCAAGCGUUGUUCGGAUUUACUGGGCGUAAAGAGAGUGUAGGUGGUUUAUUAAGUCGGAUGUGAAAUCCCGGGGCUCAACCUCGGAACUGCAUUCGAUACUGAUAGGCUAGAGUUUGUGGGGGGUACGCGGAAUUCCGUGUGUAGCAGUGAAAUGCGUAGAUAUACGGAGGAACACCUGAGGCGAAGGCGGCUUACUGGACCAAUACUGACACUGAGACUCGAAAGCGUGGGUAGCAAACAGGAUUAGAAACCCCAGUAGUCC
rnacentral:rRNA from 1 species